GACAGAGGGUGCAAACGUUGUUCGGAAUUACUGGGCGUAAAGCGCGUGUAGGCUGCUUGGAAAGUCGGAUGUGAAAGCCCUGGGCUCAACCUAGGAAGUGCAUUCGAAACUUCCAAGCUGGAGUGCUGGAGAGGAAGGCGGAAUUCUCGGUGUAGAGGUGAAAUUCGUAGAUAUCGAGAGGAACACCGGUGGCGAAGGCGGCCUUCUGGACAGUUACUGACGCUGAGACGCGAAAGCCAGGGGAGCAAACGGG
rnacentral:rRNA from 1 species